CAUUGUCACGAGCUUUGAUCAGGCUAAGAAGAAAAGCUACCUGGGACUGCAAGAAUGUUACAGACAUCAGGUGAUGGAAAGAGCCUGGGAGGAUGUACUCCAAAAUUUUAAAGAUGAGGAAACUGAGGCUCAGCCGGGGAAGCCACUGGCCAGAGGCCAUACAGCUGGAUUUAACCCAGGAGUCAUAAGACGGAGGCAGAAGGAGGUUUGACCACAGAAGAGGAGAAGACAGAGAGAAUGACAGAAACAGACUGAGAGGAUGCACUUUGAAGAUGGAGGAGGGGCCCACAAGCUAAGGAAUGCAAGUGACCACUGGAAGUUGAAAAAGGCAAAGAAACAGCUUCUCCCUGGGAGCCUCCAGCAGGAACCAGCCCUGCCAACACCUUGCCUUUAGCCUAGAGACUGACUUCAGACUUCUGACCUCCAGAACUCCCUGAGAGCGCCCUCUGACUCAGCUUCCUCCAGCCACCCACCUCCCAUCACCACCAAGGACACCAUCCCUGUCCCCAUCCCUCCCUGAGAAGGCUCCACAGAAUUGCAUGACCCUGGCCCCCCUGGAAGAGCAUCUGCAUCUCCAAUCAGACCUACCUUCUCACACAGGGAGAAACUGAGACGCUACGAGGAAGAGAAUAUUUCCCCAGUCUCACCUCAAGGUUGGAAUAGAGCCAGGGCCUGCCCCCGGCUCUCCUGA